UUACGGUCACAGCAUGUUGAAACACCGAUUCUCGUUCGAUCGCCGAAGUUAAGCAACGUUGUUCCUGGUCAGUACCUAGAUGUGUGACCGUUUGGGAAUACCGGGUGCUGUAAG